rnacentral:rRNA from 1 species
UGGGGAAUAUUGGGCAAUGGGCGCAAGCCUGAUCCAGCCAUGCCGCGUGGGUGAAGGAGGCCUUAGGGUUGUAAACCCCUUUCACCGGUGACGAUGAUGACGGUAGCCGGAGAAGAAGCCCCGGCUAACUCCGUGCCAGCAGCCGCGGUAAUACGGGGGGUGCAAGCGUUAAUCGGAAUUACUGGGCGUAAAGCGCGCGUAGGCGGCUUAGUAAGUCGGAUGUGAAAGCCCCGGGCUUAACCUGGGAAUUGCAUUCGAUACUGCUGAGCUAGAGUAUGGUAGAGGGAAGUGGAAUUUCCGGUGUAGCGGUGAAAUGCGUAGAUAUCGGAAGGAACACCAGUGGCGAAGGCGACUUCCUGGGCCAAUACUGACGCUGAGGUGCGAAAGCGUGGGGAGCAAACAGGAUUAGAUACCCCGGUAGUCC